GCAGCUGACAGGCUUGCUCAAGAGGCCUGGGAGAAGAGCUUGUGAACUGGGGUGUUCGACAGAAAUGCUGUGAGCAGUGAGAACUCUCAUUCUUCCUCCAGCCCCGAUUCCCACCUAUCUUUCUGUUCAAUCAUCUUUAAACUCUUCCUCACUUCUUGCUAGAGUUUUGUUUUUAGACAAGGGAAUAUAGACAGUUGACUUAAUGGUUCAUGAUUUUUACUAAUAGAAAAAAAACCCAUUUCCCCAUCUCUACCAAAUGCAUGUUGAAUAAAUAUUCGAAGCAUGUUUUUUAAAAGGGGUGCCAAAUUCUUACCUGCCCAGGCCACCCACACAUAGGGUCUGGUCCUGGUGCCAGGCUCUACAUGGGGCUAUGUGUAUCUCAUUUGAGAUGAAGUCACUGAAAUUAAGGGAGAGCCAAAGAAUUCUCAUAUACCUUAUGGGCUGCAUUUGAUAAAGGUGGGGGAAGGCAAGGAGAAAGUCAGUGCAAGGAGCAUGAAACUGGGAGCUGUGGUGGUGUAGUUUAAGAGCAAUACCAGAAAGGAGAGGCUGGGCUCCAAAACAGCUAUGCUAGUGCUGGGUGUGACACUUCAUAACUUCAGGCAUUUUGCACUGGAGUUGUGAGGCCCUCAUUCCAAGGUUGGCCAAAAGAACUGCACAUGCUGAUAAACCACAGGAAAGCAUUUUUCCUCUGCCUACAGAAGCUAGGACUGAGAAGUCACUGUACUUGACAAAUAAUUGGCAAUCUGCUUAAAAGAAAUUGCCAAGAGGAGCAGAACCCGGGACAUAUGGAGAACUGGAUAGAAGUGGGUUAAGAAGUGAUUAGUCACUGAGGAAAUGGAGCUGCCUGGGAGGUUUGGUGUUAAAGGAAAGCAGAGAGAAUCGGUUUUGGCUCGGCAGACCUCAGAGAUGAGAGGGACAGCAAACACCAGGUGGGGACAGUGUCCAGAGGAGAAGGAAGCAGAAACCAGAAGAAAAGCUGCAGCUCCAGAGAAUGAAACCCUGCUUUCCACAGCACUCGCGUGGCUUCUCUCGUCCACAGUCAAGCCCUCAACAUAUUUUGGAAAAGCCGUUCUGAAAUAUGGAAGUGAAUGUUGAAGUACAUGAAGGUCACUGUCCUGCCCAGGACUCAAGCAUCUCAAAGCACCUACCGGUUUCUGAAAGGCUGCUAAUGCCUUAAGGCAGGUGCUUGCUUCAUUUCCUCAAUAUACUUCCCAUUCCUAAGGCACUUAGAGAUGGGGUAAAACCUUUCUUCUCUCAUUUUCAGGCAACAAUAUGGCCAGAGAACAACUACUUUCCUUCAUAAUCUGGUUCAAUGUAUAUGUAUAUAAAUUCUAGCACAGAAAA